GGGUGUCUGGCACUGUAGUACAAUACAUUUUUGUUAAGUACAUUCAUCCUACUCUGCUAUCAAAUACUGAAUUUAUUCCUUCUAUUUGACUGUGUUUGUGCCCUUUAACCUACCUCUCUUCAUCUUCUUUCUCCCCAGCUCACUCUUCCCCAUCUCUGUUAUCUACUUUUCUGCUCUCUGUGUGUUCAAACUUUUUAGCUACGCCGUAAAUGCCAUAUUCUGAUUGUCUUCUUCAAACACCUAGAAGAAGAUCUAACUGCUAUAUUCAAACGUUUGAUGCUAAUUAGAAUCAGCUUAAUGGUAACUUCAAAAGGAAGGGCAGGGAUAUAGGCUUUCUGUGCUAACUAUGUGUUAGAUUGUAUAUUUUAUCUUAUUUACUCCUCAGAUAAACAUUAUGUGAUAUUCUUUUAUUUAUACCCUUUAUACAAGCUAACCGAAGUUGUCACCAGUUCAGGGCCGCUUCUUUAGAAAUCCAAGUGAGUCUGAAUUUGAAAAAUAUGCUUCCCAUACUGUUUAUAGGAGUUGUAUUGGCAAAGCAAGACAUUCACUCCUUAUACUUUUUUUUUCUGUUUUUGUAAGUUCUGAAUUCCAGAACGAUCCUCACAUAAUAUGUCAUUUUUAGCACCCACAUGUAGUAAAAAAAGGAGGCUUAGACGCUUUUGGAUUUGAAGUUGACACAGUGGUCCUUGUUAUUGCUUUAAAUCUUUUCUUGCUGGGAGAAAACGGCUCCUAAAAUGGGAGGAGUAUUCGUGACCCCAUUUAGAAAAUUGGUCAUCUCGUCUAUGUAUCAUCAGCGUUGAGAAGUAUGCUGUGGUUUUCAAUACAGUUGUCUGGCAAUUUAUCUUUGAUGGUGAAAGCAAUGCCAUACCCUGGACCCCAUGAGCAGAUGUCUGCUAAGCUUUCUGUCAUGUCAUCGGACAGCUGACCAAAGGCAAAAGUGUGUGUUGAGGGAUGUUGAGAGUGGGUGGGAGGUCUAGAUAGCACUGAGCUCAGAUUUCAUAAACAUUUUGAGAUUUCUUCAUUAGCAGGGAGAUGAGAGACAGAGAGUGAGGGAGAGAGAGGGAAGAUGAUGUUUCAGAGCCCUCCUUAUAUAUACUUUGAACAAAUAGUACGGGUGUUUUUCCCAGGAAACAGGCCAAAGACAAGCUUGCUAAUUUCAGCUUAUUUCUGUCUGCCACGAAGGAGCUUUCUUUGCUGAAGGGUUGGGGGAAAAUGCCAGUAAUUCUAGGGAGAAGCUUGUGCUAUCAGCGACUCUGAUAAGCUGUCCAAUACCGGAACACAGAGCAAAUGCAUUUUCUCUUAGUUUAACUAACAAAUUGGAAUGAAAUACACGGCUUGUGUACAGAUGAAUGUCAAGAAGAAAAACUGAAGUAUACUUCCAAGCAAAAUUUAUUAGAUGUCUAUUCAAGAAAAACACAAUGACCUUUGCUUGUAAGGAUUCAAAGUCAAUCACCUGAAAGCCAGUCUGGAGCAGAGAGCAGCCCUGCGCGCUUUCACGUGGAGGCCGAUCAACGUGCGUGUCUCCCCCAGGCCUGCGGCGGCGGGUACU